rnacentral:rRNA from 1 species
GACGAACCGUGCGAACGUUGUUCGGAAUCACUGGGCUUAAAGGGCGCGUAGGCGGGCUGCCAAGUCCGGGGUGAAAAGCCCUCCGCUCAAACGGAGGAAUGGCCUUGGAUACUGGCGGCCUGGAGGAAGGUAGGGGCGUGCGGAACUCUCGGUGGAGCGGUGAAAUGCGUAGAUAUCGGGAGGGAACGCCCGGUGGCGAAAGCGGCAACGCUGGACCUUUGGCUGACGCUGAUGCGCGAA